UACAGAGGUCUCAAGCGUUGUUCGGAUUCAUUGGGCGUAAAGGGGUGCGUAGGUGGCGCUGUAAGUCGGGUGUGAAAUUUCGGAGCUUAACUCCGAAACUGCAUUCGAUACUGCGGUGCUUGAGGACUGGAGAGGAGACUGGAAUUCAUGGUGUAGCAGUGAAAUGCGUAGAUAUCUGGAGGAACACCGGUGGCGAAGGCGGCAUCCUGGACCAAUUCUGACGCUGAGGAGCGAAAGCCAGGGGAGCAA
rnacentral:rRNA from 1 species